rnacentral:rRNA from 1 species
UGCGUGAAGUCGGAAUCGCUAGUAAUCGCGGAUCAGCAUGCCGCGGUGAAUACGUUUCCCGGGCCUUGUACACACCGCCCGUCACACCAUGAGAGUCGGGAACACCCGAAGUCCGUAGCCUAACCGCAAGGAGGGCGCGGCCGAAGGUGGGUUCGAUAAUUGGGGUGAAGUCGUAACAAGGUAGC